CCUACGGGUGGCAGCAGUGAGGAAUAUUGGUCAAUGGACGCAAGUCUGAACCAGCCAUGCCGCGUGCAGGAAGACGGCUCUAUGAGUUGUAACCUGCUUUUGUACGAGGGUAAACGCAGAUACGCGUAUCUGUCUGAAAGUAUCGUACGCAUAAGGAACGGCUAACUCCGUGCCCGCAGCCGAGGUAAUACGGAGGCUUCAAGCGUUAUCCGGAUUUAUUGGGUUUAAAGGGUGCGUAGGCGGUCGGAUAAGUUAGAGGUGAAAUGCCCAGGAUCAACUUCGGAAUUGCCUCUGAUACUGUUCGGCUAGAGAGUAGUUGCGGUAGGCGGAAUGUAUGGUGUAGCGGUGAAAUGCUUAGAGAUCAGACAGAACACCGAUUGCGAAGGCAGCUUACCAAGCUACUUCUGACGUUGAGGCACGAAAGCGUGGGGAGCAAACAGGAUUAGAUACCCGUGUAGUC
rnacentral:rRNA from 1 species